rnacentral:rRNA from 1 species
UACGUAGGGUGCAAGCGUUGUCCGGAAUUAUUGGGCGUAAAAGAGCUCGUAGGCGGUCUGUCGCGUCGGCUGUGAAAACCCGAGGCUCAACCUCGGGCCUGCAGUCGAUACGGGCAAACUAGAGUACUGCAGGGGAGACUGGAAUUCCUGGUGUAGCGGUGAAAUGCGCAGAUAUCAGGAGGAACACCGGUGGCGAAGGCGGGUCUCUGGGCAGUAACUGACGCUGAGGAGCGAAAGCGUGGGGAGCGAACAGG